CGGCGGACGGGUGAGUAACACGUGGGUAACCUACCUAUAAUACUGGGACAACUUCGGGAAACCGGAGCUAAUACCGGAUAAGAUAUCGAACCGCAUGGUUCGAUAGUGAAAGAUGGUUUUGCUAUCACUUAUAGAUGGACCCGCGCCGUAUUAGCUAGUUGGUGAGGUAACGGCUCACCAAGGCAACGAUACGUAGCCGACCUGAGAGGGUGAUCGGCCACACUGGAACUGAGACACGGUCCAGACUCCUACGGGAAGGCAGCAGUC
rnacentral:rRNA from 1 species